GACGAACGCUGGCGGCGUGCCUAACACAUGCAAGUCGAACGGAAAGGCCCUGCUUUUGUGCGGUGCUCGAGUGGCGAAGGGGUGAGUAACACGUGAGUAACCUGUCCCUGACUGUGGGAUAACUUCAUGAAACUGGGGCUCUUACCGCAUAGGAUCUCCUGCCGCAUGUUGGGGGCUGGUUAGUUUCGGCGGUUGGGGAUGUACUCGCUGCUUAUCAGCUCGUUGGUGGGGUAGUGGCUUACCAAGGCUUUGAAGGGUAGCCGGCCUGAGAGGGUGACCGGCCACAACAGGACUGAGAUAGGGCCCAGACUCGAACGGGAGGCAGCGGUGGAGAGUAUUACACAGUAGGCGGAAGCAAGGUGCGACCCCGCCGGGUGCGGGAUGACGGGCUUCGGGUUGUAAACCGAUUUCGCCUGAGACGAGGCGAUAGUGACGGUAAUGGGUAAAGAAGCACCGGCUAACUACGUG
rnacentral:rRNA from 1 species